CUUUGCCCUGACCUCGGCCUCCCCGCCUCCUGCUGUGAUAUCCCAGAGGCCCCCGAGGCACCAGGCUCUUUCUUCCCCUUCAGCCCCACCUCCACAGGAAAGCCCCCAGACUGCCGCCAAAUACCUCCACAGAUUCUUCCUCUCGCUCAGAUGCGGCGGGAGGCCCCUCGCGGCCUCGCCUCACUCCUUCCACCGCAGGCCUCGGAAAUACCUGAGAUCCCUGAGUGUGGUCGCUGUUUAUCUGCACCGCUCCGACCGAAAUCACUGCCAGGAGGUUCAAACCACAGAUGUUCACACUCAGAUUUAAACAUGAUCCGAUUUGGAUCCUGAUUUAAUCUCUUCUAGGCGUAGUGACGGGAUGUGAUUCACUAGGGAAAAGGCGACAUGAGAUGAAGGCCCACUUCUUCCAGAGCUGUCGACUGCAUCUCCCUCAGUGAGCCAACUCCAUUCAAAGUGCCGGGAAACAGCUGGUUUCAGGAACGCCGCAGCCGCCUCUUCCCUCUCCCGACUGGAUGCAACAGUUCACUUCAAGCUC